GGGGUAUAGUGACAGUAACAGAGGGAUUGAGGGCCCUGCUCAGUGAGUUUACAUGUUAGAGGGAGUGGGGUAUAGUGACACAGUAACAAAGGGAUUGAGGGCCUGCUCAGUGAGUUUACAUGCUAGAGGGAGUGGGGUAUAGUGACAGUAACAGAGGGAUUGAGGGCCUGCUCAGUGAGGUUACAUGUUAGAGAGAGUGGGGUAUAGUGACACAGAAACAGAGGGAUUGAGGGCCUGCUCAGUGAGUUUACAUGUUAGAGGGAGUGGGGUAUAGUGACACAGUAGCAGAGGGAUUGAGGCCCUGCUCAGUGAGUUUACAUGUUAGAGGGAGUGGGGUAUAGUGACACAGUAACAGAGGGAUUGAGGGCCUGCUCAGUGAGUUUACAUGUUAGAGGGAGUGGGGUAUAGUGACACAGUAACAGAGAGAUUGAGGGCCUGCUCAGUGAGUUUACAUGUUAGAGGGAGUGGGGUAUAGUGACACAGUAACAGAGGGAUUGAGGGCCCUGCUCAGUGAGUUUACAUGUUAGAGGGAGUAGGGUAUAGUGACAGUAACAGAGGGAUUGAGGGCCCUGCUCAGUGAGUUUACAUGUUAGAGGGAGUGGGGUAUAAUGACAC